rnacentral:rRNA from 1 species
UACGAGGGGGGCAAAUGUUGUUCGGAAUCACUGGGCGUAAAGGGAGCGUAGGCGGGCUUCUAAGUUAGGUGUUUAAUCCCAGGGCCCAACCCUGGUCAGGCACCUAAAACUGGGAGUCUUGAAUAGUGGAGAGGACGAUGGAAUUGGGGGUGUAGCGGUGGAAUGCGUAGAGAUCCCCAAGAACACCAGUUGCGAAGGCGGUCGUCUGGACACAUAUUGACGCUGAGGCACGAAGGCUAGGGGAGCAAACAGG